rnacentral:rRNA from 1 species
CCUACGGGAGGCAGCAGUGAGGAAUAUUGGUCAAUGGGCGCUAGCCUGAACCAGCCAAGUAGCGUGAAGGAUGACUGCCCUAUGGGUUGUAAACUUCUUUUAUAUGGGAAUAAAGUGCAUUACGUAUACUGCUUUGCAUGUACCUCAUGAAUAAGGAUCGGCUAACUCCGUGCCAGCAGCCGCGGUAAUACGGAGGAUGCGAGCGUUAUCCGGUUUUAUUGGGUUUAAAGGGUGCGGAGGCGGCCUGUUACGGCGGCGGUAAAAGCCCGGGGCUCAACCCCGGCGAGCCGUUGCAACUGGCGGGCUUGAGUUGGAGAGACGUACGCGGAAUGCGCGGUGUAGCGGUGAAACGCUUAGAUAUCGCGAAGAACCCCGAUUGCGAAGGCAGCGUACCGGCUCCACACUGACGCUGAGGCACGAAGGCGUGGGUAUCGAACAGGAUUAGAUACCCGAGUAGUC